AUGUGUUACAUGGUGGCCUCCCAGCUGGAUUGUGCCACCUCAGGCGUGGCGGAAGGUCCUCACAACCCUGGGCUUCCUGUACCCGCUUCCUCAGUGCUAAUACUCCAAGUCUACUUGGGCUGCAGACUCCAAGCUUGGAAUAGAUCUGGGAAACCCCUUCAAAUCCUCCACACGCUCGUUUGCAGCCUACCUGGCGCCAUCAUCACCACCCAUUCUCUGCAGGCCCUGGCCUGGCCCUUCCCGGACCCUGCCCCUCUGCAGGCACCAGUGCCCUGCUGCCUGUGACCCCCUUCCAUCCUGCCUGCUACUUCCCCGCCCUCCCUGCCCCAUCAGCAGGCCCCUCUGCGGUCAUCACUUAGAAGGGCAUGUGCCUGCUCUGUGAUUCCCGGGGUCGCCACUGUCUGUGAGGAGGGAGAAGGUUUCAGCAGUCCCCUGUGCUCUGUGUUCAGAGUUGAAGGAUUGUGGCUGACACCCGUUUGCAGCUCAGGGAGACUCUGGUGCUGGGACCAUGGGCAGUCAGCCCUUCUGUCACGGGAAGGUCACAUACAGGCAAGAUGCUCCCUCUGUCGGGAGGCCUCGCCUGCCACGUCUGAGAGCCACAGAUGCUGCUCCUCGGAACACUGAGGCCACACAGCUGCCCAGGGUGUAACUCACAUUCACUCCCCAUCCCAGCCCUGGCCCUCACCUGCUGGAGUCCUGUGGGGUUGCUGCCCCUGCAUCUUCUUCUUUGAUAAUUGUCGCAGAAGUUUCACGAAGAAAGCAGGUGGAACUCAGCGAGGGCUGGCAGAGCACAGACUGCAUCCAGACACCGCGGCCCCAGCCAGACUCCGUGCUGUCAGACAAACAUGCAAGUGAAUCACCACCUGCCCGGUUUCCGCUGCAGACGCGGAGGGCGAGAACCCAGGACACCUGCAUGAUAAUUGAGGCCUCCACCCAAACAAAGAAGACAUGAAAGGUGACCAAGAUGCUGUUGGGAGACAUCAUCCCAAGAUUUUGGGUACUCCUGUCCUUAGGGUCACACAAUGGACCAACAUUCAUAGCCAAGAAAGUCCAGGAGUUCACACUGAUGUUAAAGAAAUGAGAUCAAGUCCUGCCCAUGGUCCUCCUCUGAGUCCAGUACACCCCCACCAAACAAACUGGGCAUUCCCCUUAUGAGAUUCUAUAUGACCAGCCACCCCCCAAUCAUAGGUCAAAUUAAAGGUAAUCUUUGUAAACUAAAAAAUUUGUCCCUGAGAAAAUAAAUGUAGGUUUUGGGAAUAGCCCUACAAGAUAUCUAUUGCUUCGUACAAGAGAAAAUGCUCAUAAACUUAACAGACCCAGUAUACCCAUUCAAACCUAGGGACUUUGUUUGGGUCAAAAAAAAAAGGGCUGGGGAUUUAGCUCGGUGGUUCCACUGCCUGCCUCACAAGUGCAAGGUCCUGAGUUUGAUUCCUGGUAUGAAAAAAACACAAAAAACAAAAAAACAACUCUAGGGCCCAUAUAGGAUGGGCCUUAUACUGUGAUUCUGUCCACCUCCACUGCUGUUAAAGUUACAAGAACUGUGUCUUAGAUCUACCACAGUCCGCUAAAGCCAACAGCCCAAGACAAGUAGACCAGCCGGCAGGAUCCUGUGACAAGAUCAGGCUGCCACUACAGACAACACCUGCUCUAGUCACCCUGGAAGCUACUCAAACAGAAGACUGAAGAUCAACAUAAGUCCCAUAUCCUUUUUGUUAUAACUUUCCCUUGCCUCUUACCCCUACUUGUCAGAAACAUUCAGACAGCUGUGGAGACUCUGGUAGGCAGGCACACCACCGACUGAUGGUCUUACCCAAGCACCAACCUCUGCUCAGUGGGCUGUGCUGAGCAACCCCUUGUGACAAAAAUUGAUAAUAAUAAUCAUGAUAAAGAUGGUGCUCUCUGGUAAAACUUGUUAUAGAAAGCAUCAAAGAGGGGAACAAAGCAGAACUUAAAAGAAAAUCAGUUCUCCUAGCUGAAAGCAGUCUAACAGCUCCCUGUUCAGAUUCUGCCUUACCCUUUCCCAUAACUACUGACCUCCCCCUGGUCCUGAUAAGGUAAACAGUCCUAUCACUGUACAGGAACCCCCAAAGAACUAUGUGCUCUGUGAACAACUAUAUUCUAUAAACAAACUCUGUUCCCAUGUGAUUCAUAAGACACUCUCUUCUUACAAGGCUAAAUUACUGAACUGUCUAUCCCCGUUCUGUUCUGUUUAAACUCACUUACUUUGUCACUAAUAGACCACUCCCCUUUGACUAAAUGUAUAAAAACUGAAACUUCUCUUUGUUCAGUUCCUCAGCUUUGGGACACGAGUCCAUCAGGCUGGUGUUCA